rnacentral:lncRNA from 1 species
AGUGUCCUCGGGGAGUCUCAAGCAGCCCGGAGGAGACUGACGGUCCCUGGGACCCUGAAGGUCACCCGGGCGGCCCCCUCACUGACCCUCCAAACGCCCCUGUCCUCGCCCUGCCUCCUGCCAUUCCCGGCCUGAGUCUCAGCAUGGCGGAUGGGUGAGUGAUGCCCCAAGGGAACCUCGCCCUGCACCAGCCCCAAUCAGACGCCGCUCCUCCAACUACCGCGCUUAUGCCACGGAGCCGCACGCCAAGGUGGGACGGGGCUUCCUGGGGGCAGAGUACAGGCGCCGGAGGGAUCCAAGACCCUGGGAGUGGGGGGAGGAGCCAGGGCUGCGAAGGGGGCGGGGACUACGCGGAGGGGCUUCAGGGGCGGAGUUUUGCAGAGGGUCAUGCUCGGAUUGGUGACAGCAGCCUGCGGGCGGAACUCCGUUGCCCUCGGACUUGCUUAGGGAUAGAUGGGAAGUGCCUAUCCAAAGGAAGAGACCCAGAUUGGUGGAUGGGAAUGAGGGGCGUGGCCUCCCGUAGACUCAGGGCUCAAGUUGGACGUGGGCCCAAAUCUGGACCGGCUGGGUU